UUCAGGAGUUUGAGACCAGCUUAGGAGCAUAGUGAGAUGCCAGCUCUACUAAAAAAUAAAAUGAAAAUAUGGUAAAAGCUAUCUUCUCCUCAGCUCUAUAGAUGUUAACAAGGUACCUUAUUGUGUCUUAAGCAAAGGGAACAUUUUCAUUACAGUGUCAUGAUGCCAGGAAAGGUCUGGCAUCAUUUGAGACCAGUCAUUCAGAGUUUAAAGAAAAAAGAGUUAAAUUAUUUUAAGUGUAGACAUUAUGAGCUGUUUAAAAGCCAAAUAUUAUAGUUUUUCAGACUAGAAAUAGAAAGGCACUGAAGCAUCCCUCAGGUUAAAUUUCUAAUAAGGUAAAUAUUGAUUUUUAUAGUACUCAUUAAAAUAAGCCCUUUGGGGUCCCACCUCCUUUCUUUUAAGAGAGUAAAGCCUUCUUGAGAUGAAAAAGUGAGAAAAUCACUGUGGAUUAUCCCCAGUCAUGAUUGGCCCAUAUCUUACUAUGAUCUCAUAAGGAGCCAUUGUUAGAGAAUUUCAACAUCUCUAGAUCAUUGGCCAAGGCAGCUUUGCCAGGGUGACAUUGGCCAGCACAUCCUGACUGGGACCAGAGUGGCUGUGAAGGCCACUAACACGAGUCAGCAGAGCUUCUCCAGCCUCCAGAGAUGGCCCCUCAAAGUCCAGAGUCUGGGGCUCCCUGAAGACCCCGUCUUCUGAGAGAUCGACACAAGCUAGAGGCAGCUGGAGGGAAGGACAAAAACACUAAGCUUUGUGGAACCUACUUCAUCUCCUUUUGAUACAUCACACAGUUCUGCUGACACCCUCCGUGAAAGUCAGAGCUGUGUGGAACUCACUCCGGCGCCCCCACCCUCAGCAGCUGCCUCGCGUCUCCCUGCCCAGGGCUCAGCCGCUGUGACAGACGCCCUGAGCUGCUGUGCACUCCAGGCUUCUGUCCUCUCAGACAAUCCCCAGAGGGGACGGAGAUCUCAUUUCAGAUGGGACUCUGGAGCUUUUUCCAGAGCCAGACUGCUUAGUGGGGACACUGGAGCAUUCUGGAAGGGUCCUUGAUUGAACAUGUUGUGGCAGGUUUUUUUUUUUUUGCCUGUCCUUCAGGCUGUGAUACCACCCUUCAGGCACUUUCUCCUUGAAUAUGACUGGCACAGGGCCUGGCACAUAAUCGUGCUCUGUAUCUUUCCUCUAUGAGGGAGGCACACACACAGAAAAGAACUACAGGGGAAUUUUAGGAGAGAGAGACAACUAUGUAUGGCUGAGGUGAGAAUCAGAACUGUUUUGUGGAUGAGGCUGAUGACAGGCAAAAAUUAAAGUGUAGAUUCAAUCCCUCAUUCACCAGACACUAUCAUCAACUGGCAUGUUUUCAGUUUUGCUAUGGAAAGAGAAAUAUUGGUGACUGAAAACAAACACAAGGCUUUACAAUCUUGUGAAGCAGAUGAAUGUUCAUCAAUUAAUUACAUAAAUAAAUAUAAAUUUACACGAGAAGCAACCUAAAUGUCCCAUAGGAAAAUGGUAAA